UUAGGGAAAAUUGGGACCACAAUUCAUAAAAAUGGAAUUUAAAAAAAAAAAAAAAAAUGUUGUACAAAAAUCCCUUGGUGGCCAUGUAAAUGGGAAUUGGUCCCACACAUUGUGUGGCCAAUUUUAAUUGGUCCAACACAUUGUGUGGGCCAAGACACUUGGAGAUAUUUGUGGACUUAAAAAGGAUGACUUCAAGUCAUAUUUCCCUCAUUACACUUCAACACUUAGCACAAAAAGAAGACAAAACUUGAGAGCACCACCACCCCCACUGUUUCGGCCAAGCCUCAAGAAAACCAAAUCAAUUUCUAGCUUCCCUAAAUAUAUUUCCUUGGUACAAACCCACUAUAUUGAAGACCCUAAGUAGCGUGGAAGUAUUGUUUGAAUCAUUUAACCAUUCAUUGUGUCCAAUUGCAAAACCCUAGGCUAUUGGGAAAUUGAAGAGAAAAGAUCGUGGGCAGCCCGAAGCCUAGUUUGGACUUAGCUUGAGUUGGAUCAUAUUGGAGAGCGUUUGAGGUACAGACGCACAGCCUGGUGAUCCACCGGUUUAAGACACCCCCUUCUGCUAUUCGGAGUGCUCCUCUCAUUCCGGAGCUUAUAUUUUUGGUAUAUAUAUAUUUGUUAGUGCAUUUAUAUAUAUUCGUUCAUGGGUACGGCGGGCCCCUGUCCCGUCAUAUGAUUUUGUCGGUCUGUUUAGAGGUCUGUGGACAUGUUUGUGGGUUAGGGUCUUUCUGUACGGAUGCGUGUAUAUGUUGUGUUUGGGCGAUCCCAUUCGCCGCGGCGGCCGGUCCGCAUAUGUUUACAUGUUGCUUUGUUGGCCGGUGUGGCCUUUGUUGGUAUUUUCUGUGCGCAGGGUUAUUUUGGAUAGUCUGUAAAACAAAGGAAACUCUGCCGAAAUUUUUCCGGAAAUUUUCUAAAUUUGAAAUAUAGCCUUGACGGCUUCUGCUAUA